rnacentral:rRNA from 1 species
UACGGGGGGGGCAAGCGUUGUUCGGAAUUACUGGGCGUAAAGGGUGCGUAGGCGGCUUUCUAAGUUGGAUGUGAAAACUCUGGGCUCAACCCAGAGCCUGCAUCCAAAACUGGAGAGCUUGGGUUCUGGAGGGGAAAGCGGAAUUCCUGGUGUAGCGGUGAAAUGCGUAGAUAUCAGGAGGAACACCGGUGGCGAAGGCGACACCCUGGACCAGCACUGACACUGAGGCACGAAAGCGUGGGGAGCAAACGGG